UACGGAAGGGGCAAGCGUUGUUCGGAAUCAUUGAGCGUAAAGGGCGCGUAGGUGGUUCUGUAUGUCUACCGUGAAAGCGUACGGCUCAACCGUAUUUUGUCGGUGGAAACUGCAGGACUUGAGGCUGGGAGGGGCUGGUGGAAUUCCCUGUGUAGCGGUGAAAUGCGCAGAUAUCAGGAGGAACACCGGUGGCGAAGGCGGUUCUCUGGUCAUUACCUGACGCUGAGGAGCGAAAGUGUGGGGAGCGAACAGG
rnacentral:rRNA from 1 species